GCCUGGAUGGCUCAGUUGCUUAAAGCAUGGUGCUGCUAAUGCCAAGGUUGCAAGCUCAAUCCCUGCGUAUUUCUGCAGGGCU